rnacentral:rRNA from 1 species
GGACAACCUACCCUAUGGAGGGGGAUAACCCCGGGAAACUGGGGAUAAUACCCCAUAGACUAUGGAUGCUGGAAUGCUUUGUAGUUGAAAGGUCCGCCGCCAUAGGAUGGGUCUGCGGCCGAUUAGGUUGUUGUUGGGGUAACGGCCCAACAAGCCUGUAAUCGGUACGGGUUGUGGGAGCAAGAGCCCGGAGAUGGAUUCUGAGACACGAAUCCAGGCCCUACGGGGCGCAGCAGGCGCGAAAACUUUACAAUGCGGGAAACCGUGAUAAGGGAACUCCGAGUGCCCGUAAAAUCGGGCUGUCCAUCUGUGUAAAUAACAGGUGAAGAAAGGGCCGGGCAAGACCGGUGCCAGCCGCCGCGGUAAUACCGGCGGCUCGAGUGGUGGCCACUAUUACUGGGCUUAAAGCGUUCGUAGCUGGUCUGUUAAGUCUCUGGGGAAAUCUACUGGCUUAACCAAUAGGCGUCUCAGGGAUACUGGCAGACUAAGGACCGGGAGAGGUGAGAGGUACUCCAGGGGUAGGAGUGAAAUCCUGUAAUCCUUGGGGGACCACCUGUGGCGAAGGCGUCUCACCAGAACGGCUUCCACAGUGAGGGACGAAAGCUGGGGGAGCAAACCGGAUUAGAUACCCCGGUAGUCCCAGCCGUAAACGAUUCGCGUUAGGUGUAUCGGUGACCACGAGU